AGUGGCGGACGGGUGAGUAGCGCGUGAGAAUCUGCCUUGGGGUCGGGGACAACCACUGGAAACGGUGGCUAAUACCGGAUACGCCUUCGGGUAAAAGAUUUAUUGCCCUAAGAGGAGCUCGCGUCUGAUUAGCUAGUUGGUGAGGUAAGAGCUCACCAAGGCAGCGAUCAGUAGCUGGUCUGAGAGGACGAUCAGCCACACUGGGACUGAGACACGGCCCAGACUCCUACGGGAGGCAGCAGUGGGGAAUUUUCCGCAAUGGGCGAAAGCCUGACGGAGCAAGACCGCGUGAGGGAGGAAGGCUCUUGGGUUGUAAACCUCUUUUCUCAGGGAAGAAGCUCUGACGGUACCUGAGGAAUCAGCCUCGGCUAACUCCGUGCCAGCAGCCGCGGUAAUACGGAGGAGGCAAGCGUUAUCCGGAAUUAUUGGGCGUAAAGCGUCCGCAGGUGGCGAUUCAAGUCUGCUGUCAAAGCACGGGGCUUAACUCCGUAAAGGCAGUGGAAACUGAAUAGCUAGAGUGCCGUAGGGGUAGAGGGAAUUCCCGGUGUAGCGGUGAAAUGCGUAGAGAUCGGGAAGAACAUCGGUGGCGAAAGCGCUCUACUGGACGGCAACUGACACUCAGGGACGAAAGCUAGGGGAGCGAAUGGGAUUAGAUACCCC
rnacentral:rRNA from 1 species